CACGUAGUUGGCCGGUGCUUCUUCUGCGCAUACCGUCACUUUCGCUUCGUCUGCGCUGAAAGAGGUUUACAACCCGAAGGCCGUCAUCCCUCACGCGGCGUUGCUGGAUCAGGCUUUCGCCCAUUGUCCAAUAUUCCCCACUGCUGCCUCCCGUAGGAGUCUGGGCCGUGUCUCAGUCCCAGUGUGGCCGGUCACCCUCUCAGGCCGGCUACCCGUCGAAGCCUUGGUGGGCCAUUACCCCACCAACAAGCUGAUAGGCCGCGAGCUCAUCCUCCACCGCCGGAACUUUCCACCACCAUCAGAUGCCUGAAGUGGUCGUAUCCGGUAUUAGCUCCCGUUCCGGGGUUAUCCCGAUGUGGAGGGCAGAUUGCUCACGUGUUACUCACCCGUUCGCCGCUCGUGUACCCCGAAGGGCCUUACCGCUCGACUUGCAUGUGUUAAGCACGCCGCCAGCGUUCGUCCUGAGCCAGGAUCAAACUCU
rnacentral:rRNA from 1 species